GGGUGCCACUUCUCUGGAAAUUACAUUUGCUCUCCUGCUCCUCUGAGGCUCUUCUAGGAAACAGGACUGGGUUCCUUCGGUUCUCUUUGAAGAGGACAAUGUCACUGAAUUUCAAGCCAUUCAUUUGCAGAGACCAAAGACAAAUAUUUUCCUGAACUUUGACUACCUCAAUCAGGGAAAAAAAAAGUUUAUAAACAGACACUGAUGUUAUUGAUGACAUACUUGGCUGAAAUCACAAAGGCUUAUCAGUAUUCAGGGGUUUCUGAAGUAGGGUUUGUAAAUGUCUAAUAUGUGUGUAAGUGAGCUAUUUCCUGUAAAUCAAUGUACCUUACUUUAGACUUCAGCUUAAUAGCAAACAUACCCUCCAAAACAAAUGGCACAAUCAUUGCUUUAUCUCUUCAUGAACGCUGCCCUAUACCAUUCUGCUCUUUUGUCUUUUUCUUCCAGCAGAAAAUCCGUAUUCGUCAUAAGCUUCAAUUAAGGUAAAUGAGCGCUAUAAAUCUGGAAUCCCUGAAUGUAUGAUCAGCAAACAAAGGCUGGUUUCUUGGAUGUUUUUAUUAAGAGGAUGUACCUUAAUGAAUAGAUAGCAACAAAUGCUAGAGAUGACUGCAGCAUGGCAAAGUGGGGACUUGCUUUAUAUGGUUUUAAGAGUGCUUAUUCUGAUAAUUUAGGAGACCAGAAGAAUAACAUGGAGCAAACACACUAGUUCAGAGAUGAGGGAAAGAAAACAACCCCAUUUCUUCUUGUCCUUCAGAAGGCAGAGUUGCCAUGUGGAAAGCACACUGUUGGCCAAGCAGCAGAAGCUGAUUGAACUGGCUCUCAUGACACUGGUGGGUCUGGUCCACAGCUCCAUCUUGCCCUUUCUUUCCAAGCCAGAACCAGGAUCUAAUGCACAUCAUUUGUCCUAUGAAGCUUCAGACAUGAAGCUGGCAGAAGGCAGUUUGUCUGUCUCUUUCACAGCUCAUAGGGUGCCCCACUGAAUCACCAUAGAGUGGGAGCCUCCAACGCCGUGAGCUUUCCCCGUUCUAUGAACAGAGGGUACUUCGGGCUUCUCCAGGUUUGCUGUGUCUGUCUGCCUGAAAAAUGUUGAACCUGCCUUGGCUGUUUCCUUGAGCAACGUGGCGACAACCAGCUGGGGAAUACUUUCAGUUACUGAUCUUGAUGUCUAUUUCUGGAGUAAUUUACUGAAUAUAUAAUAUUUCAAUAAUCACUGAAGCAGACCCUGGUCCCCAGCUGCCAGUUUACAAAUCUUAUGGAUUUUCUGUCCUCAUCUCUCAGUUAAUGUUUAAAUAUUGAUUAGUUAUUCUUUAUUGAUAAAUAUUUAAGUGAGAGUGGUAUGCUUCUGCGGGCUCUUACAAGAGAGAUGGUUGAGGAGAAUUAAAAAGAGAAGUUGAUUUGAAGCCAAAUGUAAAUCACAGUGAAGAUAUGACCUGAGUCUCUUAUCCCUUGGAAGAACAGCCUCAGAGCUCUAGAAUUAAGGGACAAGACUAUAGCAUUGUAGGCAGCCAACACCUUUGAGAGUAUUUGCUUGUUCAUUUUUUAGGCAGUGGCUCUGGGACCCACCCAAGGCAAUCAGAUGCAAAUUCCUAGAUGGACAGAGGCCCUAUCUGUAAAUGAGAGCAUCCUGCCAUGCCUUACUGCAGCUGUUCCCUGACAAGAGGAAACAGCCUCAGGUUGUUCCAGAGGCAUUUUAGA